UACGAAGGUGGCUAGCGUUGCUCGGAAUUACUGGGCGUAAAGCGCACGUAGGCGGCUUUCUAAGUCGGGGGUGAAAUCCUGGAGCUCAACUCCAGAACUGCCUUUGAUACUGGAGAGCUAGAGUCCGGAAGAGGUGAGUGGAACUGCGAGUGUAGAGGUGAAAUUCGUAGAUAUUCGCAAGAACACCAGUGGCGAAGGCGGCUCACUGGUCCGGUACUGACGCUGAGGUGCGAAAGCGUGGGGAGCAAACAGG
rnacentral:rRNA from 1 species